UCCUGCAGAUGGAGGCUAGGAGCUGUGUUCCAGCCCUUACCUGCUCCCCAGGCCCAUUGGAUUAGUGAAAGAGAUCUUUAUGAGAUGUUAAACUUAAAAAGAGUUUAAAAUGCAUGGUGGUUAGACCUAAAAUAGUAUUCCAGAUCACAUUUUGUAAAUCACAGUGUUAUCACUUACUUGCGAGCUGCAUGGAGUCACACAGUGAAUGGCUGCAGAAAGCAUGACCUGAGGAACCUGAGCAGUGCACAGAGAUGUGAUAGAGCAGCCUGCAACUGGCCUCCAGCAAACUAACUCUUAUUACCAGAGAAGAGAUGAAUGACCCUUGAAUUAGAGAUGGGAAACUUCACCAAGGUUCCGAGACUGAAUAAAACAUGGGUUUUAGAAGCCACCUAAUGUCUGCUGUUUCAAAGGCUGAAGACAUCACCAAAUGCAGCAGUAUUUUUCCAGCCUUUAUCAUUACAAUGCAGGAUGGAGCGAGGGAUUAUCAAGGACAAACUGCCGAUUCACUCAACACAGGAGAAAAGACUCAGAGUUGACUGGCUCUGAUCUUAGCAUGAAUCACACACUUGUAGUGCUUGUUUGAUUUCUCCUUUCUGAUUCCCCUUGAAGUAUUUUCUACUGAGGCACAUCUGGAGCUUUUCUAGAUGUUAGUGGUUAGAGAUUUGGAUGGGGUGCUGGACAUAAGAUUUCAUACCACCUUUUAAAUGAGUCAGCGUGAUGGAAAAGUUGGAUAAAGGCAGAGGAGAAAAGCUGUCAGCUCUAGAUACCUUGGAAACCAAAGGUGUAAUAUUUCUUCCUCAUCUUUCAUUUUGCUAACUUAAAUAUAGGUAAAGAAGAGAAAUGCAGACAUAGAAGCAAGGCAUAAUAUUUUGAGUAAAAAGAGAAAUAAAUGUAGAGGCUGGCAGGACUCCUGAAGAUGUGUUAAAAGAGAAAUUCAGGGAAAAGAAGUGGGAAGAAUACAAAAAAUAGUAAAGUAGAACAUCUUUCAUGGAUGUUUUCAGGGAAAAACAGCUGUGGCUCAUUAUGGGGCUUUUAUGCCCAAGAUGGCUGAUAGAAGGCUGCUUUCUGGUUUAAUUCUUGAGAUGUCUCUGGUAUUUUUCCCUCCCAUAUUUAUCCUUUUCAGUGUCACACACUUGACUAUGGUGCACACAACUUGCUAAAUAUCAUGCCAGAAAGUGACUAGUGGCAUUCUGAAAAUCUGUGCUUCUCCACUGGACUUUGGGUCAGUGUUAAUACAUACAGGUUAACAGACAG